UAAAACCAGCAUCUCAAGUGGUCAGGAGGAUUAUUGGGCCUAAAGCAUCCGUAGCCUGUUCUAUAAGUUUGCGGUUAAAUCCAUAUGCUCAACAUAUGGGCUGCCGUAAAUACUGUAGAACUAGGGAGUGGGAGAGGUAGACGGUACUCGAUAGGAAGGGGUAAAAUCCUUUGAUCUAUUGAUGACCACCUGUGGCGAAGGCGGUCUACCAGAACACGUUCGACGGUGAGGGAUGAAAGCUGGGGGAGCAAACCGGAUUAGAUACCCGGGUAGUCCCAGCUGUAAACGAUGCAGACUCGAUGAUGCAAUGGCAUAGAGCUAUUGCAGUAUCGCAGGGAAGCCGUUAAGUUUGCCGCCUGGGAAGUACGUACGCAAGUAUG
rnacentral:rRNA from 1 species